GCUGAGCACAAUGUAGGCGCUCUAAGACUAAUGAAAGAAUCAAAUCAGGUGUGUGAGUGAUUCAGCAAGAAGUUGAAUUAGAGCCAGCUGCUUCGUCUGAGUUGGGUUAAGUCAGAGGGGGAGGGUUGAUAUUGGGUAAUCAGAACAAAACGAGCUGGAGGGCCAGCCACCUGCUUAGUCGGAGUAAGAAUGCCUGCAGAGACCUGGACCAGAGUGGGCAGAAUGGAGGGCCUAAAUAGUGUUCCUUGGAGAGAAAAUUACCCUGGGAAUGAAUAAACAAGAGCAAUGCAAAUGAUAUCCACGACUGUUACAGAUGCUUCGUGGAGGUUCAAAAAGACUACAGAUCAAGGCCAGUGACCUUCUACACAUGGUGGACACUCCAGCCUCUGCUCAAUCUCCAUCCACACUUAAAGGAAAUAGCCAACUCUUGGCCAACCUUCAGGCCUGGGAAGAGGCUCAAGCAGACACUGAAGACGGACUUAAGCAUGACCAAGGACCAGGGUAUAUACACCAGACAACAGAGCCGUUUCAUUUUGGGGGCUCGUUUGGGAUCAGAAUCAGAAUGGAAGGUAGAAACAUCAGAGUGGCUAUACGAUGUCCGGAAGUGGUGGGUUCUUGGUCUCACUGACUUCAAAAAUGAAGACGAAGACGUGGACUCUGGCGGUGAGUGUUACAGUUCUUAAAGGCGGUGUGUCCGGAGUUCAUUCCUUAUAAUGUUGGGAGUUUCUUCCUUAUGGUGGGUUUGUGGUCUCGCUGGCUCCGGAGUGAAGCUGCAGACCUUCGCGGUGAGUGUUACAGCUCUUAAGGCGGCACGUCUGGAGUUGCUGGAUCCUCCCGGUGCGUUUGUGGUCUCGCUGACUUCAGGACUGAAGCUGCAAACCUUUGCCGUGAGUGUUACAGCUUAUAAAAGCAAUGUGGACCCACAGAGAGAACAGCAGCAAGAUUUAUUGGAAAGAGAUAAAGAAUAAGGCUUCCACACUGUGGGAGGGGACCGGAGGGGGUUGCCACUGCUGGCUCCGGCAGCCUGCUUUUAUUCUCUUAUCUGGCCCCACCCACAUCCUGCUGAUUGGUAGAGCCCAGUGGUCUGUUUUGACAGGGUGCUGAUUGGUGCAUUUACAAUCCCUGAGCUAGACACAAAGGUUCUCCAAGUCCCCACCAGAUUAGCUAGAUACAGAGUGUCCAUUGGUGCAUUCACAAACCCUGACCUAGACACAGGGUGCUGAAUGGUGUGUUUACAAACCUUAAGCUAGAUACAGAGUGCCGAUUGGUGUUUUUACAAUCCCUUAGCUAGACAUAAAGGUUCUCCACGUCCCCACCAGACUCAGGAGCCCAGCUGGCUUCACCCAGUGGAUCCCGCCCAGGGGCUGCAGGUGGAGCUGCCUGCCAGUCCCGCGCCGUGUGCCUGCACUCCUUAGCCCUUGGGUGGUGGAUGGGACUGGGCGCCGUGGAGCAAGAGGCGGCGCUCAUCCCGGAGGCUCCGGCGGCACAGGAGCCCACGGAGAGGAGGAGGCUCAGGCAUGGCGGGCUGCAGGUCCCAAGCCCUGCCCCGCGGGAAGGCAGCUAAGGGCUGGCGAGAAAUUGAGCACAGCAGCUGCUGGCCCAGGUGCUAAGCCCCUCAGUGCCUGGGGCCGGUGGGGCCGGCUGGCCGCUCAGAGUGCGGGGUCCGCCCAGCCCACGCCCACCUGGAACUUGCGCUGGCCCGCAAGCACCGCGUGCAGACCCAGUUCCCUCCCGCGCCUCUCCCUCCACACCUCCCAGCAAGCUGAGGGAGCCGGCUCCGGCCUUGGCCAGC
rnacentral:lncRNA from 1 species